rnacentral:lncRNA from 8 species
AUGUGUUUAACUAAGGAGCUAGUUAGGCUACUGUAUGUGGUGAAGUGUGUUUUUCAUGUCCCUUUACUAACAUCGUCCACUUGCUGCUCCAGCUUGACCUUGGCCUUGCUCAGCAUAUUGACCAUAUCCUCCCCGACCAACAGGUUAGUCAUGGCCUGCUGGUGGGCCUCCUGCAGAGCCGUCUUCUCCUUGGUCAGACACAAGAUGGACUCGGGCUGCUGGUUGGCCUCCUGCAGAGCCGUCUUCUCCUUGGUCAGACACAAGAUGGACUCGGGCUGCUGGUGCGCCUCCUGCAGAGCCGCCUUCUCCUUGGUCAGACACAAGAUGGACUCGGGCUGCUGGUGGGCCUCCUGCAGAGCCGUCUUCUCCUUGGUCAGACACAAGAUGGACUCGGGCUGCUGGUGGGCCUCCUGCAGAGCCGCCUUCUCCUUGGUCAGACACAAGAUGGACUCGGGCUGCUGGUGGGCCUCCUGCAGGGCCGUCUUCUCCUUGGUCAGACACAAGAUGGACUCGGGCUGCUGGUGGGCCUCCUGCAGAGCCGUCUUCUCCUUGGUCAGACACAAGAUGGACUCGGGCUGCUGGUGGGCCUCCUGCAGAGCCGCCUUCUCCUUGGUCAGACACAAGAUGGACUCGGGCUGCUGGUGGGCCUCCUGCAGAGCCGUCUUCUCCUUGGUCAGACACAAGAUGGACUCGGGCUGCUGGUGGGCCUCCUGCAGGGCCGUCUUCUCCUUGGUCAGGCUCAGCAUAGGUGUUCUGGAUCUGUCUUCAGCUCUGCACACACGUCCUCCAGCUUGUGUUUCUUGGCGUUCAGGCCGGCGUUCAUCUCCUCAUCCUCAAGUCUUUCCUUCAGCUCUAUGACCUUGGCCUUAAUCAGCAGGUCACAGCAGGCCUUGAUCAGCAGGUCACAGCAGUCCUCUGCAUCCAUCAGGUUGUCCUGCUCCUGGGGGUCAGGGGUCACACAGAGAUAGACAUCUUCUUAGCAUCUCUUAUCUUGAUUUAUUGCCUAAUUGUUUCUGGUCAAUUCUGAUUAGGUCUACAUUUAUCUUGUCUGAUCAUAUUUCUACAUGUUUACUUUAUCUUGUCUCAUUGAUCCUUAUCUUGACAGUAUCCUGUUGUACAGUGUAAUAUCUUGAUGUUAUUCUGUUGUACAGUGUAAUACCUUGAUGUUAUUCUGUUGCAGCUGUAGGGCCAGGUCAUUCUUCUCCUGGAUCAGGGCCACCUGUCUCUCCUGCACCCCCUUGUGCUUUGCCUCUGACUUGUCAAACACGUUCUUCAAUUUAGCAAACUCCUCCUUGAGUGCGGCCAGCUCCUUCUCUGCCGUGGUGCUCCUCAGGAGAGGCCUGAGCUUGAAGAAAAGCAGGACCAGCUCUUCACCACUGUAAACGCCCAGAUGUGUUACUGGAUUAUUCUCUAUUAAAGAUUACAUGGGUGAAGAGAGGGGAAUGGUUUUGUGUGCACUAAGGUCUGAAUUUAAAAAGGAAUGACAUUUGGGAUUGAACGGUCACGUUUUUGCCUUAAUUAACCAUCUAUCUUAUGUAACCAUACCAAACAUAAUAUAUCAUACUAAAAGGAGUGACUUGGAUUUCCGUACAGAAUAAAACUAAAUGCUCUGAAACCAGGUUGGGUGUCCUCCUGGGCAGAGCUGUUAGGGAACAUUUUUAUUUUAUUUAACUAGGCAAGGUAGUUAAGAACCAAUUCUUAUUUACAAUGACGGCCUAGGGUAAACUGCCUUGUUCAGGGGCAGAAUGACAGAUUUUUACCUUGUCAGCUUGUUCGAUCCAGAAACCUUUCAGUUACUGGCCCAACGCUCUAACCACUAGGCUACCUGCUGGUUACUGGCCCAACGCUCUAACCACUAGGCUACCUGCUGGUUACUGGCCCAACGCUCUAACCACUAGGCUACCUGCUGGUUACAGGCCCAACGCUCUAACCACUAGGCUACCUGCUGGUGACUGGCCCAACGCUUUAACCACUAGGCUACCUGCUGGUGACUGGCCCAACGCUUUAACCACUAGGCUACCUGCUGGUUACUGGCCCAACGCUCUAACCACUAGGCUACCUGCUGGUCACUGGCCCAACGCUCUAACCACUAGGCUACCUGCUGGUUACUGGCCCAACGCUCUAACCACUAGACUACCUGCUGGUUACUGGCCCAACGCUCUAACCACUAGACUACCUGCUGGUUACUGGCCCAACGCUCUAACCACUAGACUACCUGCUGGUUACUGGCCCAACGCUCUAACCACUAGGCUACCUGCUGGUUACUGGCCCAACGCUCUAACCACUAGGCUACCUGCUGGUUACUGGCCCAACGCUCUAACCACUAGGCUACCUGCUGGUUACUGGCCCAACGCUCUAACCACUAGGCUACCUGCUGGUUACUGGCCCAACGCUCUAACCACUAGGCUACCUGCUGGUUACUGGCCCAACACUCUAACCACUAGGCUACCUGCUGGUUACUGGCCCAACACUCUAACCACUAGGCUACCUGACACCCCAUGAGAGAUGAGAGGCUGUCUGAGAUCCUCGCCAUGCAGCAGGGCCAACUCACGAGUCUGGAGAGACGCAAGAUGUUGGAGGAGAAAUUAAGAUCACAAGUGAAGCGGUUCCACUGGGACGGCUCUGUAUUUUGAGAUUUCAGGCCCAACCCAAAAUGUUUUUAGUAGUGUUUGAUAUGCAAAUUGUGUGUUAGUGUGUGUAUUUGCCACCAGGUUUGUCGGUAUGUACAUGGCAUGCGUGAAGUAUGUGUGUGGCGAGCGUGUCAGCACUUGCUUGCUUUACAUUGUGUGUGUGUGUGUGGUCCUGGUGGAAAUAGCGCCCGGAGGUUAUAACAGGCUAACUGGCGCUUACAAAAACAGGAGGGGUUGACACAUGGCCCUUAAAGAGCAGCAACAGCACCUGUCAUGUCCUCCAGCCCCAUAUUAAUAAUAACCCAUUCUCCCCGGCCCCCUUUGUCCAUGGAGCCUGGAGUUCAGAGCCUCCACAUAGCUGGAAUAACUGGCCAGGUAAUAAGGGAUUAAGUCCUCUGGUUUCACAGAGGGCUGGAGUUUCACAUUAUAAAAUGCCCUCUACCUGACCCACAGUGUGUCUCCUGCCUUGCCUUGCCAGUGAUUCACUAUUGAUUUACUUCCCCCGGCUAGCAUGCUUGCUUUCUCCCAGCACCCACUAUUGUCAAGCAAAUGAGACAAUGGCCUGUGCCCGCCAAGCCAUAUUUGGUAAGCAGGGCACACACAGAUCUAAUUUAGAACAAAGAGGGGCGGGAGGGAUCUAGACCACGCCCACCCGUUGACUGACCAGUUCAUUGGACACAUGACAGGGACAUGUAAGGGUGGAAAGCCAUAGGACAAAGCAUUCUAGCUACCUUUUAUAGUCUACUGCUUUACAGCACAUUUCCAAAAAGAUCUACUGAUACACACAUUAUCCCCAAUCAAUCAGGCAUAUGUUUCAUUAUUUCCUCACCUAAAAAGAAUUUGUAACAUAUCGUACGUUUUGCGAUACAUUUACAUUUUAGUCAUUUAGCAGACGCUCUUAUCCAGAGCGACUUACAGUAGUGAAUGCAUACAUUUCAUACAUGCUUUUUAAAUCCGUACUGGUCCCCCGUGGGAAUGUUCAUAACAUAUUGUACGUUUUGCAAAUUCGUUACAUAUACAAUAAGGGAAAAAAGUAUUUGAUCCCCUGCUGAUUUUGUACGUUUGCCCACUGACAAAGAAAUGAUCAGUCUAUCAUUUUAAUGGUAGGUUUAUUUGAACAGUGAGAGACAGAAUAACAACAAAAAUAUCCAGAAAAACGCAUGUCAAAAAUGUUAUAAAUUGAUUUGCAUUUUAAUGAGGGAAAUAAGUAUUUGACCCCUCUGCAAANNNNNNNNNNNNNNNNNNNNAUCCAUGGCAGCCUGUCCAGAGACAGGGGGACACAGUCUAACAAAAAGCAGAUUCACCAUAGGGAGCCUGACAACCAGGUUGAGGUUGAGAACCUCCAUAUAGCCCCAAUAAAAAACCACACCUGUAGGGGAGGAGGACAGAGGA